CUCAUUGUUUCGGUCUUUUGGCUAAGAUCAAGUGUAAUAUUUGUUUUACCAGUCCAAUAUCUGGUAUAUGAACAAUAUGUUCACUUUAACAUUAAAUUUAUUUAUUAUGAGUGUUUUUAUGUGGAGGGUUCAUUAAGAUUCUCAACUCUCAAGUGACUCUUAGUCACC
rnacentral:snRNA from 1 species